UACGAAGGGGCUAGCGUUGUUCGGAAUUACUGGGCGUAAAGCGCGCGCAGGCGGUCUUCCAAGUCAGUGGUGAAAGCCCGGAGCUCAACUCCGGAACUGCCAUUGAAACUGUUGGACUUGAGUACGAGAGAGGUGAGUGGAAUUCCCAGUGUAGAGGUGAAAUUCGUAGAUAUUCGCAAGAACACCGGUGGCGAAGGCGGCCAACUGGACCAUUACUGACGCUGAGGCGCGAAAGCGUGGGGAGCAAACAGG
rnacentral:rRNA from 1 species